GAGCUUCUACAGUAGAUGACUCCCGCCUGUAGCAUCAGUGCCCGAGGCAUCCGACAAUAGUAGCUCAUCAACAACCUCAAAAAUAUCCGAGCUUCUCCUAGAUCGAUGAGAUAGAGAGCCAUUCUGCUCCAUCAGUCAUCCUAGUCGAGCUUCAGCCGACAGAUCCAAACUCUCUGGCAAGUCACGACAAUAGCUGCUACCUUACCCUACACU
rnacentral:lncRNA from 1 species